AGUGCCACUAUUUAUACGUU
rnacentral:misc_RNA from 1 species